UUAACUUCAAAUGUUACAUUUUUAUUAGUCUUCACCAAAGCCCCAAAACUGUUGAAGUGGCUCCAAACCUCCUCAAAAUUUAUAUAAGUCACUUUCAUCCACUUAAAAAUAUUCUUCCAAACACGUAGUGAGAAAGA